AAGUCAUCCAUAAAGACCUCAGUUAUAUUUUCAAUAUAAUCAGAGAAAAUAGACAUCAUGCAUCUUUGAAACGUACCUGGUGCAUUGCACAAACCGAAGGGCAUGCGCCGAUAGGCAAAAGUGCCAAAAGGACAUGUGAAUGUAGUCUUCUCUUGGUCUUCUUGGGCUAUGCAGAUCUGAUUGUAACCACUAUAUCCGUCCAAGAAGCAAUAAAAUUCGUGACCAGCUAACCUCUCAAGCAUUUGAUCAAUGAAUGGUAGGGGGAAAUGGUCCUUUCUUGUGGUGGCGUUGAGCUUUCUAUAGUCAAUGCAGACUCUAUGUCCAGUCACAACUCGUUGGGGCACUAGCUCAUUCUCAGCAUUCUGCACAACCGUCACUCCAGAUUUCUUUGGAACCACUUGAACAGGAGAGACCCACUUACUAUCGGAUAUGGGAUAGAUCACCCCACAAUCCAGCAACUUGAUGACUUCAUCUUGAACCACCUUCAUCAUUGGUUGGUGAAGACGUCUUUGGGCUUCUCUAGUGGGUUUUGCUCCAUCUUCCAGCAAAAUUCGAUGGACACAUUUGGUUGGGCUUAUUCCCUUGAUGUCUGCUAAAGUCCAUCCAAUAGCAGUCUUGUACUUCUUCAAUACCUCCACCAAUCUCUUUUCUUGUUCCUCAUCUAGCUUGGAGGACACAAUUGCUGGCAAAGUCGCAUUCGCUCCCAAGUACACAUACUUCAAGUGAUCAGGUAAUGCUUUCAAUUCUAACUUGGGUGGCUGCUCUACAGAUGGUAACAAUUUGUUAGUGGAAAUGGGAAGAGACAAUAUGAGAUUAGAACUACUUGGUAGGCCUUCAAGAGCAGCAACGGUUUCAAGCACAACAUCAUCCCAUAUUUCCUCUAAUUCUGCCUUCGACACAUAAGUACCAUCAGCAUUGUAUCCCACUCCUUGAGCAAUGGUGUACUCCAAUUUAUCAUCAAUCAUUGAAUUUAGGAGUUCUUGCGCAAGAGAGUCAACAAUAUCAAUAGAAUAGCACGGUUUAAGCUCAGAUAAAGGAUACCUCAUGGCUUCAAAAAUGUUGAAGNNN
rnacentral:lncRNA from 1 species